AUAUUACUGCUUGAUUUAUCUAGUUAGAGUGUUCAUUACUUACUGGGCUGUCUAGCUCAUUAUACCAUCUCUUGUUGUUUUACAGAUUCCGAGAACUAGACUAUUGGGGAUUCAAAAUGGGAGAGCGACUGGAAGAAUUGUGGCCCAAAUUAUCUUAGAUUAGGGUUAUUUAAGUUGAAUUGAUUAUUAUGGACAUUUAUCAUGAUUAUUGGACUUCGCAAGGUUUUGUCAUUUUAAGAAUUAGGUUUCUGCAUGUUGGUCAAUUAUUGUUCCGCUGCGUAUUUAGAACUGUGAGACCUUAUGACUUGAAUCAGUCAAUGGAAUAAGAUUGCAUUUAUUCAGUUAAAUUAAUUUAGAUUUAUAAAAUUGAGAUGUUUGGUGAAGAUGCCUUGCAUGCUCGUGGGGAGAGUUUCCUACGGGUGUGUGGCGGUUG
rnacentral:lncRNA from 1 species